GAAAUCAACUCACCCAAAAUCACAAAAUUCUUCAAAUUGAGGUAACAUUUUGACUUAUUAUGAUCAAAUUAAGGUUGUUGUUUCUUUCAUUUAAAAUUUAAUAGAAUAUGUUGAGAUUUCUUAAGAUGAGUUUUUAAACUGAAUCUUCAUUAAAAAUGGUGAAUCUUUAAUUAAUGAGUUAACCUGUUGUUUUUAUUGAUUUCUAACUUAUUUUGAACUAAUUAGAAGGUAUUUCAACUCAAUUUAAUGGGUAUUUUAAAUAUUCAUGAGAGCUUGAAUUUUUUAAAAAGUAAAAUUCGAUUAAUUAGAUGAAAUUAAUGGUUUAGAUCUGUAAUUAUAUGAUAAUUAGGAUGUUGAUAAACAUAUUUGAGGUUUAGAAACGAGGAUUUGACAAGUAAAUUCUUAUUUUGGCAAAACUAGUUAGACUUUGGUAUUGAAAAAAAGAGAUUGUAGAUAGGUGAUUUUGCUUUGGUUUGAAUUGGAUUAAGGUAGUAAUUAAUGAGUGUGUAAUGUGUUUAAUUUGUAUGCGAAGCACCGGAUCAAUCAGGAGCUUCUACGAGCAAGGCAAAGGGCAAAGAGAAGCUUACCUAGCCUUCAAUGUUCGACCGAAAGUAAUCUGGUGAGUGAUCGAAAUUGCUACUUCUAGGCACAAUUCGAUGCAUUAUUAAGGGGCUUAGGUUAGCCUAAACACCUAUCCUAAAUAUCUAGCGUAAGUAUCUCUAUUCUAUCUAUUAUUGAUAUACAAAUCAUGCUUAAGUGAUACAAUAUGCUAUGUGAGUUGACUUGAAAAUGCUAUGUGCCUUAUGAAUAAAUAUGUUAUGAACUUGCUGGUAUGUAUGCACAUUAUAUGAUAUUUUUAUACUAUGGCUCUUUGAGCAAUAAGCAAACACUUGUAAGUGCAUUAUCUGAGAUUUCAUUAUAUGAUAUGAACAUGAGUUAAAUGAUAUGUGAAAGUGUGCAUAAAACAGUAAGUGUAUGUGUUUAAAAUGGAUUUGCUGGCAUUGUAAUCUCUUGAAACCAUUGGAUAUAGUUGGCAUGACAUAGGGUUGUGAGUACUCACCAUUAUUUGUUUAUUUUUGGAUGAUGAGGCCCCAAGAUAUGUUGGAGGGAUAAAGGAAUGUUGAGCAUAGCUCCAUUCACCAAGAUAUGUUUGGUGUAUUUGGAGUGUGUUCACUAUGAGACUCUUUGAGUCUUUGGUUGUGUUUGGGGAUCUGUGUAUUUGAUGCUUUAUGUUUUAUACAUGUUUCGUGGACGCUAAAUGCCAAUAUACCAAUAAAAGAUGCUAGGGAUGAUGCUUGUGCUAUGCCAUGUAAUAAUGUGAUAGUAUGCUUACAAUUAACCUUGAUAUUCUGGCUUGUUUUUGGCAUCUUUGAACACUCGCUGAGCUUAGUUAAGCUCAUAAUCCUUUUAUGAACAUUUUUUGUAGAGAGGUAGCUUCUUAAGGAUGGGAAGUGUGCAAGCAAGUGAUCCAUCUAAGGCAUUCCAUUCGAGUAUGUGAAUUGAUUUUUCAACUAGCAUAAAAAUGGCAAUGUGAG
rnacentral:lncRNA from 1 species